GACCGCGUAGCUCAGUUGGCAGAGCAUUGGGCUAGUACUCCAAAGGUCGUAGGUUCGAAUCCCACCGUGGCCA